rnacentral:rRNA from 1 species
GAAUUCACUAGUGAUUGGCCUAACACAUGCAAGUCGACCGGUAACAGGAAACAGCUUGCUGUUUCGCUGACGAGUGGCGGACGGGUGAGUAAUGUUUGGGAAACUGCCUGAUGGAGGGGGAUAACUACUGGAAACGGUAGCUAAUACCGCAUAACGUCGCAAGACCAAAGAGGGGGACCUUCGGGCCUCUUGCCAUCGGAUGUGCCCAGAUGGGAUUAGCUAGUAGGUGGGGUAACGGCUCACCUAGGCGACGAUCCCUAGCUGGUCUGAGAGGAUGACCAGCCACACUGGAACUGAGACACGGUCCAGACUCCUACGGGAGGCAGCAGUGGGGAAUAUUGCACAAUGGGCGCAAGCCUGAUGCAUCCAAGGGGCGUGUAUGAAGAAGGCCUUCGGGU